GGAAAAGCCACGUCACAACACAGCCGGGGCAGCGUGGCGGUGCAGCACAGGCAGGGUCAUUGAGAGGUCCAGAGUCUAUCCUCAGCACACACUGAGCAAAAGGCAGGGAAUACACCAUGGAUGGAAAACACCCGUGACAGCAUCCGCGUCCUACUCUCCUGCUGGUCAGACCUGCUCUGAAGGACCCCAAGCGUAAAAAGACAGUGUCCACCAGACAAACAUCAGACAGAUGACUGAAGAAUGUGGCUAAAGUGCACCCAGCCAGUGUGAUGGAAAGAACAGAGAGAAUAAUACAGAUUCCCAGGUACUGCCAAACAAAGUUUGACGU